GGUAAAGAAAAUAUGCGACAAAAUGGUGGAUGACAUCAACAAGAUGAUUGCACUUGUUCAGAUUUCUUCGGCAAUGAUGCCAGUAGGGGUAGGAUGAAAAAUUGUAAUAGCAUAAAGGACUCAUGAAACUGUUCCGGAUGGCAUUUAUCUUUCUAUAAGUUUUUUGCUUUUUGGAGGAAGUUAAGAGUAUGUUUUUGGAAAAUGCCAUUUUAGGUAAUAGGCACUCUAGUGAGCUUUUGCUUUGUUUUGUAAGUGUGUGAACUGCUUUGCCUAGUCAAUGUUAGUAGUAAUCCAUGUGUCCUUAGCUUAUCUAACUAGGUACUAGUAUUAGCCUAAUCUAGUUAAGAGAUCAGUUUCUUUCCUUGGUCUAUAAGGUUUAGUUUCUUAAGGAGUAAGACUUAUAAGAAACAUAACUUUAUUACAACACAACAAUAUUACAUAAGAGUGUACAACACACUCUCUUUAGUGACUAGCCUAGCAUUCAACCUUUACUUCUACCAUGCUCAUGGUUGAAUGGCAUGGUAAGGAAGGGGGCCUCUAUUUAUAGGCCAAGGGAGUUUGUAGGAUGAUGACAUGUGUCCACUUUUAGAGUUUUCACUAGACAAAUAUCUAUAUUCUACAUUAUUCUAAUUUCUUCAUGGCAACAACAUCUAGUGCCUUCAUGGAAAAUAUCAUGGAUCAUGAAUUAUGGGUAAGGCUCUAGAAGUUUGUAUUGGUUUCCUUCAACAUUCAAGUUACCAUAUUUAUUCCCUUUUGGGUGUUGUUCAAGGAGCUAAACAAUAAAAAAUAUAUACGACAACGUAGAACUUAAAUAUAUCUAGGCAUUUACCUUAUAUGAGCACAUUAAAUAUCUCUAAAGUUAUUGGUUGAGCUAACUAAAAUAUACCUUUUAAAUAUUUGCUUUAUCAGCUUCAACUUCACCUUUAGCCUUCAAAUAUUCCUGUAUUCCUGCAAAGGUCUACUUUGCAAAGUUAGUACUUUCUAUUUUACAUAAAGUAAGAAUUGUACCACUAGUCCCUAAAAUAUAUUUUCUACUUUGCAAUUGUUAUUUUUUUUCACAAUCAAUUCCAUGUUCUUUUCCUAUGCGGAGGAUGGUGUGGGCUAAUGGUGCAAACAGAACAAUGUUUAUAAGCCUACCAAAGCAAAGCAAUUUGAAUGUUGAAGAGGGUGGGUGAGAGUACCGAACAGUAAGGAGUAGUGCGGCAAGUUUCUUCAACUUAAAGUCUUAAACAUACCUACAAAUAAAGCAUAUAUAACUUAUCAUGUGUGUCCAAAAAUAUCAUUGUGAUUUCAUCUUUCAUUGCACUUAGGCGUAAAGCCAUGGUCCAACCAAUAGAAUACAGUAGGUUCAUGCCAAUAACUUUUCAACUCCUGUUAAAGACGACCAAACCAUUUGUAAUAUCAGUCCCAGCACAACAAUUGUGAUAAAAUAUAUCAACCCCUUGAUAUUGAAGAUCUACAGUGCUGUAGAAUGUGUCUAUCAGACAAAUGAAAAAAUUUCAACAGUUCGAAAUUAUAAUAAAUCAUAUAUUGUAUCAUUAGUAACUUACCCUAAGUUUCCUCCUCUAAGGCAAGAACUUGCAGGAUUGCACUGGGUUAGACAUCUUUUACUGUUGUAUAAUGCUUUUGGAACAUAAUUUGUAUACAACGGCCUCUUCCAUGUUCUCUUGAACACUGAAGUUUACCUGCUGCUUAGCAUGAAUUAACUCCAUUCCACCAUGAAGAAAAACAAUCGACAAUUUAUUACCGUUGUAUACAACAACAUCAGUGGCACUGAAGUUCCUUUCUAUCGAAUAUCCAAAAGUGAUAACGAAGUCCAUCGUAGCAUUGCCUUGAAUAUUGAUUUUGGUUGUUAAUGUUAGAAAUAACACUUGUAUUCAUAAUAGGGGCACUAGGCCCAUAUAUAUACAGGUACAGGAAGGGGAAAAUAUACAUACAAAACUCCCUAAUACAAAAGGAAAAAUACCAACAGUACAUAUACAUCUAACAGUUUAGACAUAGCAAAAUCUAUCAUCAUAUGUAAGGAUCAAUCCGCAUUGGUGCACGUCUCCAACUUUUAUCAGUACAAAACAGUUUUGACAAUCCUACGCUUUUGUUGAAUAGCUCCGUAAAUAUCCUACAGAAAGAAAAAUGUUACUUUUUAUGCUUUUGUUUCAUUGUAUUACCAUAAACAUCUUACAUAAAAGAAAAUUUUACUGAGACUGAAAAGUUCAAAAUUGUAAAACAAACAUAUAACUUUAGAGUUUGUCAAAAACCUCACUGCAGCUUAUGCCCUUUAAUGUGGCUUCCAAUGCCUUCUAAUCAUUUGAUUCUAUCAACAGCUAACAUUGUAAUGCUUAAUACCGGUCAAGCUUUAGCUAAAUGCCUAACCACCACACUAAAUUGAUAGAUAAUACCAGUCAAGCUUUAGCUAAAUGCCUAACCACCACACUAAAUUGAUAGAUAAUACCAGUCAAGCUUUAGCUAAAUGCCCUCUAAUGUGGAGGAAGCUGUAAGGUAAAGAAAAUAUGCGGCAAAAUGGUGGAUGACAUCAACAAGAUGAUUGCACUUGUUCAGAUUUCUUCAGCAAUGAUGCCAAUAGGGGUGGGCUAAAAAAUUGUAAUAGCACAAAGGACUCAUGAAAGUGUUGCAGAUGACGUUUAUUUUUCUGUACGUUUUUUGCUUUUUGGAGGAAGUUAAGAGUAUGUUUUUGGAAAUGUCAUUUUAGGUAAUAGGCACUCUAAUGAGCUUUUGCUUUGUUUUGUAAGUGUGUGAACUGCUUUGCCUAGUCAAUAUUAGUAGUAAUCCAUGUGUCCUUAGCUUAUCUAACUAGGUACUAGUAUUAGCCUAAUCUAGUUAAGAGAUCAAUUUCUUUCCUUGGUCCAUAAGUUUAGUUUCCUUAAGGAGUAAGACUAGUAACAACUUGGCUGCAAGCUUGAGUCUAGUCAAUGGGUCAAGUCUUUGUCUUAGUAAGCAAGCCACUAGGGGUGUUAUGAGUGUUCCCUUUCAGUUAUAAACAAGAAGCAAAGAGCCAGCCAGCUGCAGCUCAAAACUAUGGUUCACUCUUUUGCUGUUUUUCCAACAGUCAUGUUUU
rnacentral:lncRNA from 1 species